CUGCGAGUUCGCGGGAGAGUAGGUUAUUGCCAGGGUUUUUAUUUUUAUACUUUAAGUCUUGAUUUUAUUUUUAUGUUAUUUAAAUAUUGGUGUUUUUAAAUGUGUUAUUUAAAUAACAUAAAAAAUGAAAUAUAUAUUGACAUGGAUUAAACAAAGAUAUAUAUUAUUUUAUGUUGCAUAAACAAACUGGCAAAAUAGAGAUGGAAGAUAAAAAUAUGGUCAAAGUAAUAAGAGUCUAUGGUGAAUGCCUAGGA
rnacentral:misc_RNA from 1 species